UACGAAGGGGGCUAGCGUUGCUCGGAAUCACUGGGCGUAAAGCGCACGUAGGCGGAUUGUUAAGUCGGGGGUGAAAUCCUGGAGCUCAACUCCAGAACUGCCUUCGAUACUGGCGAUCUCGAGUCCGGGAGAGGUGAGUGGAGCUCCGAGUGUAGAGGUGAAAUUCGUAGAUAUUCGGAAGAACACCAGUGGCGAAGGCGGCUCACUGGCCCGGUACUGACGCUGAGGUGCGAAAGCGUGGGGAGCAAACAGG
rnacentral:rRNA from 1 species